GAUGAAGAACGCAGCGAAAUGCGAUACGUAAUGUGAAUUGCAGAAUUCAGUGAAUCAUCGAGUCUUUGAACGCACAUUGCGCCCUCUGGUAUUCCGGAGGGCAUGCCUGUCCGAGCGUCAUUGCUGCCCUCAAGCACGGCUUGUGUGUUGGGCCCCGCCCCCCGAUCCCGGGGGGCGAGCCCAAAAGGCAGCGGCGGCACCGCGUCCGGUCCUCGAGCGUAUGGGGCUUUGUCACCCGCUCUGUAGGCCCGGCCGGCGCUUGCCGAUCAACCAAACUUUUUUCCAGGUUGACCUCGGAUCAGGUAGGGAUACCCGCUGAACUUAAGCAUAUCAAUAAGCGGAGGA
rnacentral:misc_RNA from 1 species